rnacentral:rRNA from 1 species
UACGAAGGGUGCAAGCGUUACUCGGAAUUACUGGGCGUAAAGCGUGCGUAGGUGGUGAGUUAAGUCUGUCGUGAAAGCCCCGGGCUCAACCUGGGAAUGGCGAUGGAUACUGGCUCGUUAGAGUGCGGUAGAGGAGAGUGGAAUUCCCGGUGUAGCAGUGAAAUGCGUAGAGAUCGGGAGGAACAUCAGUUGCGAAGGCGGCUCUCUGGACCAGCACUGACACUGAGGCGCGAAAGCGUGGGGAGCAAACAGG